CCAGACAGGUGAGGAGUUCAAUCAUCUUCUCGGCCCUGAUGGCAGUGUCUUGAAUGGCAUAUGCGAGAGUGAUGUUGGUUGCUGAUGGAUUAUGGCCUGGUCCCUCUUGAUGAAUCUCAUGAUACAUGUUGAAUGUCGGAAAGGUAUCUGCAGCUUUCUGACUGUGGCCGAAGAAUACACGAGGAUCCACUCUCCCCAUCUCAGUCAGGAGUUAUGUAGUAUUGGCAGUCUAAACUUGGUCGUGUUACAAGGGCAUGGUCCCCAACGGAUAGCUGGACAAAGGAGCGUUUACGAGUUGUCUGUUGGUCCUCUGAUGAAGCCUUGGAUCUGUUAGUAUUACCUUGAUAAAAAAACCUGCUGCUGGGCAGCUUACUUUGGUGGAGUUUCCUCCCUUUGUUUCAUGGCCUUUGGUUCCUCUGAAACAUUUUGACAACUUCUGAGCCCAUUACUCUGGUGUAAGGAGAAGUGUUUUGAAGGUCGUGCCAAACACUCUUGAACAUUUUUAUGCACCCCUUUGGGAAGGGAGGGCAUAUUGCUUUGCUGCUGUCAGUCUGUCGGUUGGUCCACCAACAGUUUCCGUGCAUUUUCUUGGCAGAGGAUAAACAUAUUGAAAUGAAAUUUGGUAUACAGGUUAAGCAUGAUAAUGCCUAGGUCAAGUUUGAUUAUGGGUACGAUCGAGCAAUUUUUGUUAGAGUUAUGGCCCUUGGACGUAGAAAAAAUUCCAGUUAUUUGCAGUUUCCACUCAUUUUCUUCGCAGAGAAUAAACAUGUUGAAAUGAAAAUUGGUAUACAUGUUUAUCAUGAUAUUAUCUAGGACUAGUUCGAUUUUGGGUAUGAUAUUAAUAGCAAAUUUCUCAGAGUUAUACUCCUUGGACUUACAAAAAUUCCAGUUAUUUGCAGUUUACCUCCAUUUUCUUUUUGGAUGUUUCCAAAGGAGGGGGGCAUACGUGUUUCACAAUCAUCUUUUGUUUUUUGAAAGCUCAAGUAAGCUUUUUUGAUCACUUUUUGUCCGUUGUUCAUCUGUCUGUCCAUAAACUUUUUACAUUUUCAACUUCUUCUCCAGAACUACUUG